rnacentral:rRNA from 1 species
CACGUAGGGGGCGAGCGUUGUUCGGAAUUACUGGGCGUAAAGGGCAUGUAGGCGGUUCUGUAAGCCUGACGUGAAAGGCUAUGGCUCAACCAUGGCAUUGCGUUGGGAACUGCGGGACUUGAGUCACGGAGAGGGAGCUGGAAUUCCAGGUGUAGGGGUGAAAUCUGUAGAUAUCUGGAAGAACACCAGUGGCGAAGGCGAGCUCCUGGCCGAUGACUGACGCUGAGGUGCGAAAGUGUGGGGAUCAAAC